UGACUAUGGAUAUUGGACAAAUGCUUGUGGCAUGCUGUAUUUGUGGGGGAAAACCGUGGUUGACUGGCAAACAAACUACAACAGAUGUUGCAGCAUUGGAAUGACGCCAAUUUUAAUCACGGAUGAUUCAAACAGAACGUGUUUAAACUCAUUUUUGAAGAGUCCCAACCCUCUUUGGAAUUACAACCUAAAUUACUGGACUGGAGGACGAAAAAUUUUGGGCAACGGAACAUUCGAGUGGGGAACAACCAAUCUGCAGUUCAGCACCUCAAAGCUGUGGCUACCAGGAGAACCAAAGGGUCCUACCUACACUGAGAGCUGCGUGAAUCUUUAUCUAAACACGGCUUCAAACAAUAUUUCCAUCACAAGCAGAAAUUGCUCUGAUUUAUA